GCCGCAUGAGGAACGACGGCCUUCGGGUUGUAAACCUCUUUUAACAGGAAAGAAGCGAAAGUGACGGUACCUGCAAAAAAAGCGCCGGAUAACUACGUGCCAGCAGCCGCGGUAAUACGUAGGGCGCAAGCGUUAUCCGGAAUUAUUGGGCGUAAAGAGCUCGUAGGCGGUCUGUCGCGUCUGCUGUGAAAACCCGAGGCUCAACCUCGGGCCUGCAGUGGGUACGGGCAGACUAGAGUGCGGUAGGGGAGAUUGGAAUUCCUGGUGUAGCGGUGGAAUGCGCAGAUAUCAGGAGGAACACCGAUGGCGAAGGCAGAUCUCUGGGCCGUAACUGACGCUGAGGAGCGAAAGGGUGGGGAGCAAACAGGCUUAGAUACCCUGGUAGUCCACCCCGUAAACGUUGGGAACUAGUUGUGGGGUCCAUUCCACGGAUUCCGUGACGCAGCUAACGCAUUAAGUUCCCCGCCUGGGGAGUACGGCCGCAAGGCUAAAACUCAAAGGAAUUGACGGGGACCCGCACAAGCGGCGGAGCAUGCGGAUUAAUUCGAUGCAACGCGAAGAACCUUACCAAGGCUUGACAU
rnacentral:rRNA from 1 species